rfam:Myotis lucifugus cont2.14433, whole genome shotgun sequence.
GGCAGUUCUCGGUUGAUGCACUCCAUAAUUGGGCUCCCUCCUCUCUGGUUCCGCGUGCGUCACCUGAGAACUGGA